rnacentral:rRNA from 1 species
ACGCAUAAGAUUGUAGUAUCGCAUGAUAUAGCAAUUAAAGGAAGCAAUCCGCUAUAAGAUGGACCCGCGUCGCAUUAGCUAGUUGGUGAGGUAAUGGCUCACCAAGGCGACGAUGCGUAGCCGACCUGAGAGGGUGAUCGGCCACAUUGGGACUGAGACACGGCCCAGACUCCUACGGGAGGCAGCAUG